UUCUACUUAUAUAUAUUAUAGCAGAACAGGUACAUGUCAAGCCGAGCUCCUGAGCAAAUAAAUUACCUGAUUCCUAAGCAAAUUAUUAGCCAGGUAUAUAUUAGAGACCUAUCCAAGCCUCCAUUCCAAGGCUAACUCCGGAGCAAAUAUCAGUUGAAAGCCUAGGUUUUGGUCGAAUUGCAGAUAUUUGCUCCAAACAAGCUUCCACUCAAUCCUCAUCGCCACCUACUCCGGAGUGCCGAUCGCCUCCGAAUUCCUGUUUAGAUCUCUGUGCUUUGUAAUUUGGAAUAUCUUGGCAAUACUUAAGGUUUGCAGGUUUCUGCUAUGCUUUGUAUAAGUUAGAAUACUGCAUCUACUGAUUUAUCAUAUUGCACCGGUCAUGGGUCAUCACUCUUUUUUACGAAGUUAUAGAACGGAAUUGGACAUAAAGAAUAAGUGCCAAGUGAAUUCAAGAAACUGAGGGCCUUCAAGCUCAGAAUUUCAGGGAUUAGAUAGGAUUGCAGUAUUAACAUACUUGUUCUGAUUGUCUUUAGUGUCACAGACACAAUAGCCAUGGAUUGUGAAAUGGUCGGUGUCAGCCCGCUUGGGAAUAAAUGUGCUCUUGGAAGAGCCACACUGGGUUAACAAGUGGGGACAUGUUAAUAUGACGAGUUUGUUCGUCCGGUGGAUUACGUUGUUGAUUUUCGUACCCAGGUAACAUGGAUCAAGGACUCAUCGACUUUGCACAAAAUUUUAAAAAAAAGACUGACGGUGAUAAAUUAGGACUGAUGAAUAUGGGACAGCAACAGAGACAAAUGCAAUGGAAGAAGGUUUCACCCCAAUGGAGAUAUGCAAAAAUACAAGUUCUUUCCUCGGUCCUGUUACAAAUCAAUUUUAUAAUCAGCCUAUUUAUUGUCAAAAAAUAAUAUUAUCCGUUUAUUAAUCAUCAUCUGAUGAAACAAAUAAAUAUUCGCCAAUUUAUGUAACUAACUAAUACUAGAUGAUAUUUUGGUAUUUAUAUGCAAAGCCCAGAUUUUUUUAAGAAUAUAAUGAGAUUGCUAGCAAAUUAUUACACACACAGUUUUUACCGGAGGAGAGAAUCGAUAGUGAGAUCAAGUUUUGCUUUCACAAAUAUCUUCUGCUUGCAUUUCGUUACAAUUUCAGACCUCAGUCUGAAUAUAUUAUGAUGGAAAUUAGAUAUGUGUUGUUGUAAUUAAUAAUUCAGGACCAUCUUUUUUGUCUCGAGACAAGAUGUCCAAAUCUUGAGGUCUGCACCAGUGUAUGCCAGGGUUAGGCCUGCUCUUCUUCCUCAGACCAUGAAGGUUGUUGUGCCUGUGGCUGCUCGGAAAAAAACCUCAUUCAGGAACAAAAAGAAGGCCGUGACGCUGAAAGUAAUGGAGAGGGCAACAAAUUACACGCAAUUGUGGUCUUCUAAAAAGCUCUCCUGAACUUGUUGCUAGACAAACUCGCAUUAUGCGGAAGGAGCAUGCAUAUCUUGCAUAUGCAUAUAAAGUUGCCAAACUAGGUCAGCAUUGUGCCCGGUGUUUCGAUUCCAGUUCAUAUGCCCCCCAACAAAAAAGAUUUUUUGCCCUAUUUAAACUGACAACUUUCACUACAUAAAUACGGAUGAGUGUCGAGCACACUUUUCAAACCAAAAUGAGAGUGGAAGACGACAUCAUUUUUGUCAAAACUGGUAUAAAUAUCAACCAACAAAUACGUUAAUCUUCUUGGGGCAGCAAUCGUUACAAUGCGAGAUCAAAUACUUUCUAGAUAUGAUAGGGCUUAUUCACCUCUAACCAUGGAAUAUGUAGACUUGCAAGUUUGUCCAAAGUAAUUUGAAACAGUUGUGUUAUUCUUUUAUAAUUGGGUUAUGCAUCAUUAGAUGAU